UUGGCGUGGUAAGCUAUAAUGAAUUCAUUUCUUGCCUUUUACCAGAAGUGACCGUGUAGCUGCCACUAAACGCCAUUAAGAAAUCUUUGGAAUCAAAACGGAACACCACCUCGUGUGGU
rfam:Diplodia seriata DS_831_scaffold_v01_218, whole genome shotgun sequence.